rnacentral:rRNA from 1 species
CAGUCGCCACGGUAAUACGGAGGGUGCAAGCGUUAUCCGGAUUCACUGGGUUUAAAGGGUGCGUAGGCGGAUCUGUAAGUCAGUGGUGAAAUCUCCAGGCUUAACCUGGAAACUGCCGUUGAUACUAUAGGUCUUGAAUUUUGUGGAGGUUAGCGGAAUAUGUCAUGUAGCGGUGAAAUGCAUAGAUAUGACAUAGAACACCAAUUGCGAAGGCAGCUGGCUACACAACUAUUGACGCUGAGGCACGAAAGCGUGGGGAUCAAACAGGAUUAGAUACCCCCGUAGUCCCUGUCUCUUAUAU